AGGACUAUCAGAAGAAAAGGAAAUGAGUUAUGUCAAGAUUGUUAAUCCCGAAACUGUUGUAAAGCGUAAAAAGAAAGGAUGGAGGAAGAAGCAAUGAAUUUGUCCCUUGCGGAUUUGAGAUUGUUCUGAUUUCCGGCAGCCGGUGGUCCUGCUGCGGAUUUUGUCACACAAACAGUGAUAAUCCACGGACACCAGGCUUUCCGUUGUUCGUUAGACAUAUUUGACAGCAUUUUUCCAGUUUAAAAAUAAAAGUUUGCUUUAAAUGAA